rnacentral:tRNA from 2 species
UGCGCUAUAGUGAAAAUGGCAAACACACUCGUAAGAGGGGUUCCGGUUCGAAUCCGGAUAGCGUAC